AAAGUGACUUGACCAGAUAUUUGGCUACCCAGUAUGAGUAUCUUUCUGCUACAUUAAAUAAAAUAUCGUGGAGGAACACGAAGAAAAGGGCUGCGCACCUCAACAUAUUCAAGGUCAAGCAGCUUUUUACCAUAUCCAUAGUAUCUUGCUGCUAAAUGAAAGAAUUAGUGUGGAGGAGCAGAGAAAAGGGCACCUCAACAUGUUCAAGGUCAAGCAGAAAUUAGGAGCUAGGGGUGCUUCUCCAGAGCUGAAAACUUCUUGGCAUGAAGAGAAGAAGAAGCAAGAAAAAGCAGUUUUAAAUAUUGAUUACAUUUUCAUAGUACAAAAAAUGAUUCUAAAGAUAAUACUAUCUAUGAAAUUAGAGAGCUGAAGUUGCGUUCUGAUGAAUGUGAGAAUGUCUUCAAAGAACAGGACACCAAAAGUGCCAUUCUCAAAUCAAAGCACUCUAAAAGGCAGAGCAUAAGAAGAACUAGGACAAAUAAAGAAUCUAAAAGAGUCAAACCUAUGGAUGUAUUAAUUGAACAGAGAUGGGCUAUUAGAGAUGAAAUAUCUGAGUUGCUACUGUUUUGCACAAAUUAAAUUUUAGAUAAGAAAAAUAUACCUAGUGUUGUAUUUUUGACAGUGAAAGUUUUUUCUUAUGCUUGAUUUCAGAUUAAAACUGUUAUGUAUUUUAUUGUUUAAACAUUUAUUGGUCUGCAAUCACAUACAUUUUAAUCUUGAUUUAUAUAUCACAUAUAUGUACAAGUCUAACUUAAAUAAUAAGUGCAUGGACAUUUUUGUGGAAAAAAUAAGACAAUCAUGAUCAAGGGUAGUCUGAAAGAGCUUUGCUGGCAGUAAGUUGCAGAUCUUGAUACCCAAGUAAGAGAAAGGUGGCGUCUCUGACCGAUCCUUUUGCUGUUGCUUGUGGGCGAGUGAGGCUUCUCUGUCAGUGGCUUAGUGAGUCAUAGAUGUAAAAAAUAGAAUAGGCAAAUGAGGUAGAGACAUUUAUGAGUAAAAAAGGGUUGAAUUGUGAUUUUAAUAAAUAUUACAAUUGAUAUUGCAA